rnacentral:rRNA from 1 species
GUGGGGAAUUUUGGACAAUGGGGGCAACCCUGAUCCAGCCAUGCCGCGUGCGGGAAGAAGGCCUUCGGGUUGUAAACCGCUUUCGGCCGGAACGAAAUCGGCGGGAUGAAUAGUCUCGCUGGAUGACGGUACCGGAAGAAGAAGCACCGGCUAACUACGUGCCAGCAGCCGCGGUAAUACGUAGGGUGCGAGCGUUAAUCGGAAUUACUGGGCGUAAAGCGUGCGCAGGCGGCCGCGUAAGCCAGAGGUGAAAUCCCCGGGCUCAACCUGGGAAUGGCCUUUGGGACUGCGUGGCUCGAGUGCGGCAGAGGGGGGUGGAAUUCCUGGUGUAGCAGUGAAAUGCGUAGAUAUCAGGAGGAACACCGAUGGCGAAGGCAGCCCCCUGGGCCAGCACUGACGCUCAUGCACGAAAGCGUGGGGAGCAAACAGGAUUAGAAACCCCAGUAGUCC